rnacentral:sRNA from 1 species
AUGUAUUACUCAUACACUGCGGUUCCUGCGCUCCGUGCGCUUUGCCCUAAGGCCGCUCGCUACGGUUUUUGGCA